GCGUUCAUUAUCCACGUGUCCCAGCAGGAAGAGAGGGCAGCUUUCCGGGGACUGAGGACUUCUUCUCUCCAGGAGCUGGCACAGCUCCAGGUCCAAAGAGCAAAGUGGAGCUGCCGAGCCUGUCCCCGUGCGGGAGAAACCCUGCUCCCCUCAGCCCCUGUGAGCUGCACAUCCCAACCUCCUCCUUUCAUCCCUGCUUCUGGCUUAAUCCCAUCACAGCCUAGAAAGAAGUUGGGAAAGGAAGAGGAUUUCUGCUUGAAAGGAGAAAGAAAGGAGAGGAGUUGUAAAAGCCGGGGAUGGAGGAGGGAACAGAAACAUCCUUCUUUCAAGGAAAAGAUGCUGUGGCUGCUGUUCUGGGUACCAUAUGCCAGCUACAUCUUUGGAUUAAAGAGGCCUUAGAAAUACAAAGUAUGAUUAUCCAGGACACAGCAAUUUAAAUUGAACAAGAAAUUUUCAAGAAAUACAGGUAUGCAUGGCAGGACAUGAAAGAUGGACAAAUUUAGUUGCAAGCAUUUAAGAGCAAAGGAAAUUAAGGGUGUGGGACCUGGGGCUGUGGUGGAUUCCUCAUCAACUGCAGUCUUUAAUCAAGUUGUUUCUCUUUUUUUUUUUGGGUGCAUUUAAUAGAGGCUUCUAAAACGGUGUGCUGGGGCUUUAGUGAAUUGGUGGGCAUUGUUUGGGGAUUACAGGGUGGGGCUCUGUGGGAGAGAAGACAUCAGAGGACACCAUCCCUCCUGGCCUUGGCUCAGCAAGCCUGUUCCUGCCCACCUUGGGAAAGAUCCACCUGCAAACACCACCUCGGAAAUCCUGGAUAAAUUGUUUGGGUGUGCUCAGGUGCAAAGAGAAAAGCACCAAACCUUGUGGCACCCCUGGCUGUGGCAGGGCUGUGACUGCCCUGCCAGGGCACUGUUCCUCUGGAGGGACUGGGGAGAAAACACACAUGAAAAAAUAAAUUAAAAAAAAAAAAACCUAGAAUCCUAGGUUAAUUUUUUCCUUAAGAAAGGACCUUAAAGGUUCUCUAGUCCAACCCCUUGCCAUGGGCAGGACAGCUUUCACCAGCCCAGGUUGCUCCAAGCCCUGUCUAACCAAGCCUUGGACACUUCCAGGGAUUCUCUCUGCACAGACAAGAGUUUUUGGUUUUAAUAGACGUGGGUUUGUAGGAAUGAAUGUUGUUUCUUUUGCCGAGGAAGUUUGGACCUUGUGAUCCCUGGGGUCUCUGCAAACUGGAAUUCUGUGCCCCCUCACAGUGCUGGCAAGCCCAGAGACCAGGUAACACAUAUGAUGGCCACAAGCAGCUAAGAUACUUCCAUAAUAUAUAAGGAGGUUUCUGUUUACCAUUUUUAGCAUUAAAUUGUAGUUUUUCUGUGUCUUUGCCUUUUGCUGCCUGAUUCCUGUGUGGUCAAAGAGCAUGGCAGAGGUGCUGGUACACCAUAUCCACAUAAUAUGUGGGAAUAUACUAAGAAGAAUGGAGGAAGGAUCCACAUAAUGUAAGGGAAAACAUACAGGAAGGAAUUCUUGGCUGUGAGGAUGGGCAGACCCUGGCACAGGGUGCCCAGAGAAGCUGUGGCUGUCCCUGGAUC